rnacentral:rRNA from 1 species
AUGACGUCCGUUCUGUUGCUUCUCUUCUCGCUCUCAUUUGCGCAAGUUAGCCACCAUAUAUGCUUUUGUCGCUGCAGCUCCACCUCUUUACACCAUCCUUUUCCUAUAAGCUUAAAUAGUCUUGAUCUCACGGGUGUGAGAUUGCUGAGUCCUCGUGACUCACAGAUUCUACCAAAACAGUUGCAGGUGCCGACGAUGCCAGUGCAGAUGAUGGCGUCGAUCUCAAGUGGGAGUUCGACGAGGAACGUGGUCGUUACUAUGUGUCUUUUCCUGAUGAUCAGUAGUGGAGCCCAGUUGGGACGAUCGGGGAUCUAG